UGUCCCGGGGGGAGGGUGGGUUGGGAUUGGAUGAGUUCUGUCUUAGGAAUGCUGGGGGCCUGAGGGUCCCUGGGUCAGGGUUUCUGAAGGUCUCCAGUUCUGGGACGCUGGGUUUCAGCCCAGGACUCCCAGGGCCGCAGAAGCCAGGGGUGGAAUUUCCACAUGGGCCCUUGCCUGGUUCUGUCCGUGCCCGACCCACGAGGUCCACGGUUGGGCUUCAGCGCUCCUCUCUGAUCACGGCCUGUCUCAAGUGUGUGCUGCUCCGUUCCCUUUUCAGAGAAAGAACAGAUCUUGCCUGUUGACUUUGACCUUUUCAGGCACCCCUUGCACAAACCCUUCCCUUGAUGGUACCAGGAGCUGCACGUCUCCUUGGACUUCUGUAUGACUCCCGACUCAGGGAGGUUGGCCUUGGGGCUGGCCUGCCAGAGGGUGGAGGGCAGAGGCUGGGUCUCUGGGGCAGAUGGGCCAGAGGCCCUGCUGUGAUCUUGACUGUAAAUGGUGUGGAUAGCACAUGACUUGGAGCAGAUCACCCAUCAUUUGACAUAUCACUCAUCUUUAUUUCUCCCCUUCAGAUUCUGUUUAUAAGCACACUGUUUUUUUAAUGGACAUCUAAUUUUUUUAAAAUGAGCAUCCAUUUUUUAAACCUAAUUGCUAUUCUUCACCACAUACACUUUUUUUUUUUUUAAAUUUUUGCAUCCCACCUUUUCCAUAUUCCGCUGUCAACAUUUUUCUUUCUUCCAUAUACUUCAUCACCUCACUGGCUGCCUUGUGUCUCACUGAGUGGCCGUAUCAGUCAUUCACCACAUCAACCUGCAAUUAUCACUCUGGCUAUGCAUAAUUCAUCUUUUUUAAUGUUACAAAUUAUGCCACAGCUAAUAACUUAGCACACCCCCCUUUUUCAUUCUUAUGAAUUAUUUUUCCACACCUGGAAGUGAUCUUUGCUUUGUGGUAUGUCAAUUUCUCCUGCUAGGCUGUGAACCCUUGAGGGCAAGGAGCUUGUUGCAUUGAUCUUUGUAUCUCUAAUGCCUGAAAUGUUGUAGAUAUAAAUGUUAGAUGAGAGGAUAGGAGGAUGGAUGAAAGUGUGAGUGAGUGCCUGGUUGGCUGUUGGAGGAGAGGAUGGGAGAAUGGAUGAAUAAAUUGGAGUGGUGAAUGAACAAAUGAAUUUUCUGGUGUUGAGUUUCUUGAGGAAAGGCCAGGAAUUUUUGUAUGACUACUAAUUUCAGAAGGCUUGUACCAUUUUGUGAUGUCUAGUGAUGUAUUAGCAUUUUGUUAAGAUGUUGCUAAUUUAUCUCUGUUAAAAAGUGUUUUUCUGUCAUUUUAACUUGCACUGCUUUGAUGACUAAUGACGGUUGAACAUUUUACUGUGUUUGUUAAAAAAAAUUACAUCUUCUGUGAACUGUUUGUCCAAGUCCACUGGGUCAUGGCUUUGUGGUAAGACUGGCCAAGGGUGGAAUGAGGGUCCUUGGGAUGUAGUGAGCCCUUCAUCUCUGGGGUCAUUCAAGGGACAGGACAGGCAGAUACUCGAUGAGGGUAGCUUCAAGGAGAUUCAAUUAGUAGGAGUGGGGUUGGCCUAGAUGACCCUUCAGGUCUCUUUGACUCUUCCUGGAAAAUGCACAUUGGGAUGAUAUUCUCCCUUUGGCAGCCCAGUGACGUUUAAGGCUGCCUCUCCUGGGUGGGCUUGUGCAUUUAUGAUCUAUGAACUCUCAACUCACCCUCUGUAACUCUUGUGGUGCAAGAAUCUCUUUGACCCUCCAAGGUCCAGACAACUGUGCUGCCAUCUUGAAUGUUAGUUAAGUGGUGGCCUUCCUGCCUCCAUCCCCUGCCCCCAUUUCACUUUGAGGAAGACAACCCCUUGGAUCACCACUUGGCACCUCUCAGGGCAAUCAGCUGAGGCAAUCUGCUGCCCUUCAUGUUCCUAGUGCCCUCUGAUGUGUGAGCCAUUGUCCCGCUGGCCUCCAUGGUGGUCUUUGGGGUUUAAUUAAGUAUUUCAGAUCAGGUCAGAUAGUGAAUCUGCCUUCAGAAAUGGGGCAACUCAAUUCCACAAGCCAAAGAGUAGAAUGGCCCCCAUAUUCUCCUUGAGCUUCUUCCCUCAUGGUUCACCCCAGGGGUAACCAGGUCUCAGAAGUCAUCAUGGCCAUUUGGGAAGGGCACGUGACCCAAGAAGGCUUGCCCCUGCUUUCCAGGAUACCCUCUGCUUGCAGCCGAGGGCCGUGUCUUCCCACCGACCGUCUACUAUAGCACUGAGCGCUGUUUGCCCAUGUCAGAUUUCUCACCCACAUGUUUGGGAGGCCAGCGAUGAUUCCCAGCAUUCCUUGGAUCCAUCCAUCCAUCCAUCCAUCCAUCUAUCCAUUGCAUUUGGCCUCUCAACCUGGUGCUUUGGCCUUUCCCUUUCCUGAAAGCAAACCUUUUCCUUGUGGGCAGGCUGUGUAGCGCCAUGGGCUGUGGUUAUGAAGUGAACGCCCUUACUUGUGGCUUCUUCCUCCGGGGUCACUGCUCUGAGCAUGUCCCAGCUGGAUGUCGUCUGCCACAUCACCCACACGGCUUCCUUCCCCAUGGCGCGUUCCCAUGCGUCACACACUGCGAGGGAUCCAGGGCCCGGGGGCCCAGGGUGGCCCCCGUCCCCACCCGGGAGUGGAGAUGUCCCCGCCUCCCAGGCCACCUUGCCUGGUGCAUGGUCCCUGCCAUGAGCUUUGCCCUCAGCCUCUCCACUUCCUCUACCAGAUGACAGCGGUUGUAACUCAUCCUUUCAUCCCUUCAUUCACUCCACUCCCAGCCCGCAAACAUUCGAAAAGGUCAGCUGGUGCUAUACUAGAGCUGGGUCACAAGGUUGCAUUGCGACACCCCCUCUCGAAAGAAAAGAUGAGUGUGUUUGCUGGGGGCUAGUCACAAGGCGGGAUCCUUGAUUCAGCGUGCCCACCCCUCGGCCAAAGUUCUGUCGAAAUUUUGAUUGCCCUCUCCAACUUCGUUCCUCUGCAAACUGGGUUGAUUAGUAAUCAGCAAGCUGUGUUCCCUGGGUGCUCAGAAAUCAUAGCCCAGAGUCUCAAGAGGCCAGAAUGAUAGCUGGGAUGGGGAUGGGGGGGAUCUGAAACAAACAGCUGAUUCUGGCCGUGAGCAGGAUUUCGAGUCAUUAGGACAUCUUCAUCUUGCGCAAAGGGCGAGUUUCAGAGCCCUUCCUGUCCCUUGGAGAUUGGUUCAUUCUGGGCUCUAUUGAGAGAAAAUUGGGGGAGACGAUUGCUGGUUUGGAUGGUGAGGGUCAUGCCCCACCGUGAGGUCUGCACAGAACAAUCUAUUGGCACAACAGGGCAUCCGGGCUGCCUGACGCUUGGCAAACCCGAGAUGCAUCUGUGAUCCAGGUUCCCAGCCAGGUGGGGCUUCCCACCAUAGAUCUUGGGAGCUCUCCUGGGAAUUCUGCGUUUGACUUACUGCCUUGGACAGUGGGUGUAGUGGACAAAGCCAGGACCCUGGAGCUGGACAAGCAUGUGGUUUAGACUCACGGGCAUGGCCGAGUUCUGGCUGCUGGGCAGAACACGGCGCCCACCUCUCAGGGCUGUUGUGCGCAUCUGCUGUAACCGAGGUUUUGAACUGUGACCCUGUAGGGUGGUGCGCGUGCCCCCGGGAGUAGGCGGCGGGUGGCGGGGUGACAGGCCGGGAGGGGCAGCCUGAUUGGGACAGCUCAGUGGGCAGUCUUUCUAGCAAGCACACAGCGGGUAUUAUGGGAUCGAAUGCUGAAUUCGUAUGGCAUUUGAAAGGUAGGUAGGGGUAAUUUUGGGGUUGGGGUUAGGCUGGGGAAUGGGGAUCACUCUGGGCAAUGCCCUGGCCCCCUGGGGUACGCGUUCGCACCCACCUCUGGAACAGGUUGUAUCUUGCCUACCACUGUGUCUGGCCUGUGGGCGGCACUUACCCUCCACAAGUGACCCCUCCCAGCAGUAUCCUCCCUGUAAAAUAUUAGGCACCGGUUGUCAAAGACACUACGCCCCCAUCCCCCAACCCCCCACCGCCCAAUGUCCCCUCUCCCCCUUCUCAACAUUUGGGCUCAAGUGUCAGCUGCCUGGGUGCCUAACACAGUACCAGGCCAGUGGUAGGGGUCGCCUUCCAUUUCUGUCGGAAGGAUGGAUGAGUAGAUGGUUGAAUAACACAAUUGUAACCCAGUGUAAGCAGCGAUUGUAUAUAACCUUGACUAAGAGAUUGUCCUCCGCUCCUGAUUAACCUGUUAACCAGUUACUGUAUCUUAUGGACCUUUGUGUGAUAUAUGUUGCUCAGAAACCAGGACUCUGGUUUCAGAUGUCACUUGGUGGAACUUUCGCUGUCCGAUGAACGAGUCGAUGUUUUGUGUUAGAAACGAGAAUCUGGCUGAUAUGUAACUAACUGUGCACGGUCGGUCAAGGCACUUCUCUGUGACUAUCGGUCUUCUUUUGGUCUCCUUUUUUCUAAGCCGUGGGUCACCGGAAAGCUUACCUCACAGGGCUGUUGUGAGAGCUCAGGGUUGGGUGAACAUAAACAGCAUUCAUUAAAUGCUGGCCGUCACUGAAAGUGAUCAUGUGUUGGGGGCUGUCUGGAAGGGAGCAGGGAAGCUUUUGCUAGUUCUAAAUGAAUAAAAAGUUGGUCUUGACCUUAUAAUAAGAUUGUAUUUCCGACAGUCACUGGGACGUGUGAGACAGAGGUCAAGUAGCCUGAGAGUGUUCAGUGAUGCAGGUCCAGAGUAAAUAUUGCCUCAGUUAAUGAGUGAUGGCUUUUCUCCUUCCUUGGAGGCUCCUUUCCUCUCCCCGCCUCCCACCCUGGGCAGCUGUUUGUCACGCGCAGGUGACUGUUCCUGCCAGGUCUGUGGAGGGACUUUUGUGAGUCCCCCAAGGGUAUUUGUUAGGGGGGAGGAGCAAGGACCGUUUAGAGAGAGCCCAAGGAAGGGUUUCUGGGUAACAUCUUAGGGACUAAAACUCCCUCUUCUGCCAUUUAGGGAAAAGGCUCCUGCUCGAUUGUCAUGCGGGCCCAUUUAACAGAUGAGCGAAUUGUGUCCAAGCCAGGAUUGAACAGUCCUCCAUGAAAAGCCAGAGGGUGCUCUCUCAACUCAGUCAAAGCAAACCCUCCCAGUUCCACGGCUGGUCUCUGUCAGCCCAAAUGUGCCCCAGGGUGUCCCUGUCCCCACCACAUGCCUAGGAGUGCCCGUGUGGAGCUUCAGUGGGACCUGGAAACUUGGCCGAAUUAGAUAUUGCCCCUCUUCCUGCUUAGGAGACAUCCCCUUGGGGUCACUGUGGAUCCAGGGGUCUCCACGAGUGCACGGAAUUUCUUUCCUGGCCCUUGUCUCACAUGUGGAGAGCGGGGUUCUGCAGAACACCCCCAGAUUCCAUUCCAGGUGGGCUGGAGUCGGGGGUCUCCUCUGGCCCCUUCCCCUGCAGAAGCCUCCCUGACCCCUCAUUUGGCCUCUGGCUUUCACAGCCUCAGUGGGCUGUGUCCACACGUGGCCACCCUGUGUCCUUGAGAACUUUUCUGAAGCUCCCGAGGGGAUCCACGGGUAGAGACAGGUGGCUAGGGCCCUCCUCCCAGGGGACUGUGAGUCUGUGUGUAGGUGUCUGCUCCUGGACGGUCCUCGGGCCUGUGUGCCCAGGGGUGAGGAGUGUUUUCAGGGCCUCGUCCUCCUGAGCAGGGCAGGCCUGGGUCCCUGUCUCCAGAGGGUGGGGAGAAAGCUGAGGUUCAGUGAGGGUUAGGGUUUCGAGUCAGGGUCAGGGUCGUCAGUGAGGGUUAGGGUUUCGAGUCAGGGUCAGGGUCCUCAGUGAGGGUUAGGGUUUUGAGUCAGGGUCGGGGUUCUCAGAACCCCCUCCCUGACUCUGAGACUUAGACUUCUCUGACCCUGAUGGUCCUGCUUCCUGUGUAGUAGGCGCUUAAUAGAUGCUCACUGAUGGGCGAGCGGGGUUUUAGUGGAUGUGAAAAGCUGAACUGACUGUUGGCUGAUGGACAUAUUGACUCUGCAUGCAUCUCUGUAAGGAAAGAGGGUGUUUCUUGGCAAAGACUCUCCAGGGCAGACCCUGAGGGUCUCUGUCUGAAGUGGGGGCUCACCCUGGGGAAGCUUCUGGAUGCAAAUAGCUGUCUUCUGACUGUUUCUGGAAAUGUUUAUAUCUAGAAUAAAACUUUGUGUGGGCUAAAAAAUGUACUCCUA